rnacentral:rRNA from 1 species
UACAGAGGGUGCGAGCGUUGUCCGGAAUCACUGGGCGUAAAGGGCACGUAGGCGGCUCAGUAAGGUUGCGGUGAAAGCCCGGGGCUCAACCCCGGGUCGGCCGUGGCAACUGCUGGGCUGGAGCACUGUAGAGGCAGGUGGAAUUCCGGGUGUAGCGGUGGAAUGCGUAGAGAUCCGGAAGAACACCGGUGGCGAAGGCGGCCUGCUGGGCAGUAGCUGACGCUGAGGCGCGACAGCGUGGGGAGCAAACAGG